rnacentral:rRNA from 1 species
AUUGAACGCUGGCGGCAGGCCUAACACAUGCAAGUCGAGCGGAAACGAGUUAACUGAACCUUCGGGGAACGUUAACGGCGUCGAGCGGCGGACGGGUGAGUAAUGCCUGGGAAAUUGCCCUGAUGUGGGGGAUAACCAUUGGAAACGAUGGCUAAUACCGAAUGAAAUUCAUUAGUCAAAAGGCUUUUGAAGGAAAGGCGCUGAGGCGUCGCAAGGAGAUGAGUCCGCGGCCCAUUAGCUAGACGGCAGGGUAAAAGCCUACCGUGGCAAUGAUGGGUAGCCGGCCUGAGAGGGUGAUCGGCCACAUUGGAACUGAGAUACGGUCCAG